CUUUUGUAAGAUAAGAUAUUAAAAUAUCUAAUCUCUAAUGGAGAACUUUUAGAAAUUCCAGCAUUUGGAUGCAAAAAUACAUUUAAUCCACAUUUACCUCCUAUUCGCUUUCUAAUUACCCUGUCUUGAAUGACUACCCAUAGACUUAAGCAGAUAAAAUAAGACAGUGGUUGAGAACAUGGGCUGUAGACCUAACUAGCCAUGGUAGAUCAGCCUGGGAUGUGUGCUGCUCAAACCACCCAAGACAAUCUGCUGUGAAGACUGAAGUAAGCUGACAGCCUCCACCUACAGUGCUUUUGGAUAACUGCAGCACUUGCAAACUGAGGCUAUGCUUUCCUUGGGCAGCUUAGCCAAUGCCUAACCAUGACAGCAUAUUGGCAGCUGGCCAUUCUUGCUCAACAUGGAACCCAUCCAACAGCAGUCUUUGAGCUGGACCUUCCAUUGGGCUGACUGAGACCUUUUCCAAGCUGUAUCAUACAGUCUGAGAUUGCUUCUGCCCAGUCCUUUUGAGGGAAUGUGUUCUUUCCAGGUCCUCAAGGGGGCGUAGUUUCUAGGACAAGAACUUCACGGCGUCAUAUUUUCUCCUCCUCGCAACUGUCUUCAUCCUGGAAAUUUAAUGGUUUAUGUUUAUAUUUUGCAGACUCAGGAAGAAACUAAGAGGCAAUCACUCCAGCGGAAGUUCUUUCAUUGGCCCCGGGUCUAGAGAAGAGUUAUGUUUCCGAUUUCCCAACUAUGCUAUUAGAACCAGAAAACCAAGGAUCGUCAUCCUUAUUGCCCAGUGUGACUAGCAGGAACCUUGCAUAUUGUACUUCAUCCAAUGAACAAAUGGUGGAGGUACAGAAGGAUGGGGAUAUGGUUUAUAGCCACAUCCAACACAUCCUUCUAUGAGGAAAAGGAGAAUACUGAUGGAGUCUUGCUCUGUUGCCAGGCUGGAAUACAGUGGUGCGAUCUCGGCUUACUGCAACCUCCGCCUCCUGCGUUCAAGCAAUUCACCUGCCUCACCCUCCUGAGUAGCUGGGAUUACAGGUGGCACCACCACACCUGACUAAUUUUUGUAUUUUUAGUAGAGACCGAGCUUCACCAUGUUGGCUAGGAUAGUCUUGAUCUCUUGACCUGGUGAUCAUCUGACUUGGCCUCCUAAAGUGGUGGAAUUACAGGCAUGAGCCACUGCGCCCAGCUCCAACUAUUUUUUUUUUUUUUUUUUGAGACAGAGUCUUGCUCUGUUGCCAGGCGCCAGGCUGGAGUGCAGUGGCACUAUCUCGGCUCACUGCAACCUCUGCCUCCUGGGUUCAAGCAAUUCUCCUGCCUCAGCCUCCCGAGUAGCUGGAACUAGAGGCACACGCCACUACACCCAGCUAAUUUUUGUAUUUUGGGUAGAUACGGGGUUUCACCAGGUUGGCCAGGAUGGUCUCGAUCUCCUGACCUGGUGAACCUCCCGCCUCGGCCUCCCAAAGUGCUGGGAUUACAGGCUUGAGCCACCAUGCUCAGCCCUCCAACUAUUUUCUUUUUUUUAAAUUGCAUUUUAGGUUUUGGGGUACAUGUGAAGAAAAUGCAAGAUAGUUGCAUAGGUACACACGUGGCAGUAUGAUUUGCUGCCUUCCUCCCCUUUACCUGUAUCUCCCCAUGCUAUCUCUCCCCAACUCCCCACCCCCCACUGUCUCUCCCCUAUUCCCCCCAAAAGACCCCAAUGUGUUGUGCUUCCCUCCCUGUGGCCAUGUGAUCUCAUUGUUCAACACCCACCUAUGAGUGAGAACAUGCAGUAUUUCAUUUUCUGUUCUUGUGUCAGUUUGCUGAGAAUGAUGGUCUCCAGGUUCAUCCAUGUCCCUACAAAGGACAUGAACUCAUAGUUUUUGAUGGCUGCAUAAUGUUCCAUGGUGUCUGUGUGCCACAUUUUCCCUGUCCAGUCUAUCAUCGUUGGGCAUUUGGGUUGGUUCCAGGUCUUUGCUAUUGUAAACAGUGCUGCAUGGUUAGGAAGAAUCAAUAUUGUGAAAAGUAAUUUAUAGAUUCAACACUAUCCCCAUCAAGCUACCAAUGACCUUCUUCAC
rnacentral:lncRNA from 13 species